UACGUAGGGUGCAAGCGUUGUCCGGAAUUAUUGGGCGUAAAGAGCGUGUAGGCGGCCAGAUAAGUCCGCUGUGAAAUCUCGAGGCUCAACUUCGAGCUGUCGGUGGAAACAAUCUGGCUAGAGUCCGGAAGAGGAGAAUGGAAUUCCUGGUGUAGCGGUGAAAUGCGCAGAUAUCAGGAAGAACACCCGUGGCGAAGGCGGUUCUCUGGGACGGUACUGACGCUGAGACGCGAAAGCGUGGGGAGCGAACAGG
rnacentral:rRNA from 1 species